GACCGGGGAUGCAAGUGUUAUCCGGAAUCACUGGGCGUAAAGCGUCUGUAGGCGGUGAUGCAAAUCAUUGGUGAAAAACUCUGGCUGAACUGGAGGAAAGCCAGGGAAACUGCAUGACUAGAGUGCGGGAGAGGUAAAAGGAAUUCCCUGAGUAGCGGUGAAAUGCGCAGAUACAGGGAAGAACACCGGUGGCGAAAGCGUUCUACUAGAACACAUCUGACACUGAGAGACGAAGGCUAGGGGAGCAAAUUGG
rnacentral:rRNA from 1 species